rnacentral:lncRNA from 1 species
AGGUAGUAGAGGAUGUCUACAGCUUUUUUUGGAAAACCUCAGAUAUGACAGGGUAUGUCUGAUAGGAUGGAGAAGGAGUCAGUUCCAUGUAGAUUGAGAGACUCUUGGGAUAUGGUUAUUGGCCAGAUGCCAUAUAUGUUGUAUAUGAAACUGGGAUAACUAUAGCAGAGGUUGUUUUGAAAAUGAAUUGGCUAAUGGGAAUUUGC